UCAUGGCUCAGGACGAAACGCUGGCGGCGUGCUUAACACAUUGCAAGUUCGAACGAUGAAGCCUAGCUUUGCUAGGUGGAUUAGUCGGCGAACGGGUGAGUAAUACGUGAGUAACCUACCUUUUAACUCUGGGAUAAGCCUGGGAAACUGGGUCUAAUACCGGAUACGACCAAUCUCCGCAUGGGGUGUUUGGUGGAAAGCGUUAUGUAGUGGUUAUAGAUGGGCUCACGGCCUAUCAGCUUGUUGGUGAGGUAACGGCUCACCAAGGCGACGACGGGUAGCCGGCCUGAGAGGGUGACCGGCCACACUGGGACUGAGACACGGCCCAGACUCCUACGGGAGGCAGCAGUGGGGAAUAUUGCACAAUGGGCGCAAGCCUGAUGCAGCGACGCCGCGUGAGGGAUGACGGCCUUCGGGUUGUAAACCUCUGUUAGCAGGGAAGAAGAGAGAUUGACGGUACCUGCAGAGAAAGCGCCGGCUAACUACGUGCCAGCAGCCGCGGUAAUACGUAGGGCGCGAGCGUUGUCCGGAAUUAUUGGGCGUAAAGAGCUUGUAGGCGGUUUGUCGCGUCUGCUGUGAAAGGCCGGAGCUUAACUCCGUGUAUUGCAGUGGGUACGGGCAGACUAGAGUGCAGUAGGGGAGACUGGAAUUCCUGGUGUAGCGGUGGAAUGCGCAGAUAUCAGGAGGAACACCGAUGGCGAAGGCAGGUCUCUGGGCUGUAACUGACGCUGAGAAAGCGAAAGCAUGGGGAGCGAACAGGAUUAGAUACCCUGGUAGUCCAUGCCGUAAACGUUGGGCACUAGGUGUGGGGAACAUUCCACGUUUUCCGCGCCGUAGCUAACGCAUUAAGUGCCCCGCCUGGGGAGUACGGCCGCAAGGCUAAAAACUCAAAAGAAAAUUGACGGGGGCCCGCACAAGCGGCGGAGCAUGCGGAUUAAUUCGAUGCAAACGCGAAGAAACCUUACCAAGGCUUGACAUAUACUGGACCGCAUUCAGAGAUGGUGUUUCCCUUCGGGGCUGGUAUACAGGUGGUGCAUGGUUGUCGUCAGCUCGUGUCGUGAGAUGUUGGGUUAAAGUCCCGCAACGAGCGCAACCCUCGUUCUAUGUUGCCAGCACGUUAUGGUGGGGACUCAUAGGAGACUGCCGGGGUCAAACUCGGAGGAAGGUGGGGAUGACGUCAAAUUCAUCAUGCCCCUUAUGUCUUGGGCUUCACGCAUGCUACGAAUGGCCGGUACAGAGGGUUGCGAUACUGUGAGGUGGAGCUAAUCCCUAAAAGCCGGUCUCGAGUUUCGGAUUGGGGUUCUGCAACUCGGACCCCGUGAAAGUUCGGAGUUCGCUAGUGAAUCGCGGGUUCAGGCAAACGCUGCGGUGNAGACGUUUCCCGGGCCUUGCGCGCACCGCCC
rnacentral:rRNA from 1 species